rnacentral:rRNA from 1 species
UACGUAGGGUGCGAGCGUUAAUCGGAAUUACUGGGCGUAAAGCGUGCGCAGGCGGUUUUGUAAGACAGAUGUGAAAUCCCCGGGCUCAACCUGGGACCUGCAUUUGUGACUGCAAGGCUAGAGUACGGCAGAGGGGGAUGGAAUUCCGCGUGUAGCAGUGAAAUGCGUAGAUAUGCGGAGGAACACCGAUGGCGAAGGCAAUCCCCUGGGCCUGUACUGACGCUCAUGCACGAAAGCGUGGGGAGCAAACAGG